rnacentral:rRNA from 1 species
UAAAACCAGCUCUUCAAGUGGUCGGGACUAUUAUUGGGCUUAAAGUGUCCGUAGCCUGUUUAGUAAGUUCCUGGUUAAAUCGGAUAGCUUAACUAUCUGUCUGCUAGGAAUACUACUAUACUAGGGGGCGGGAGAGGUCUGAGGUACUCCAGGGGUAGCGGUGAAAUGCUAUAAUCCUUGGGGGACCACCAGUGGCGAAGGCGUCAGACUGGAACGCGCCCGACGGUGAGGGACGAAAGCCAGGGGAGCGAACCGGAUUAGAUACCCGGGUAGUCCUGGCUGUAAACGAUGCGUGCUAGGUGUUGGUAUGGCUAUGAGCCGUAUCAGUGCCGUAGGGAAACCGUUAAGCGCGCCGCCUGGGGAGUACGGUCGCAAGGCUG